AAAUUGAAGAGUUUGAUCAUGGCUCAGAUUGAACGCUGGCGGCAGGCCUAACACAUGCAAGUCGAACGGUAGCACAGAGAGCUUGCUCUCGGGUGACGAGUGGCGGACGGGUGAGUAAUGUCUGGGAAACUGCCCGAUGGAGGGGGAUAACUACUGGAAACGGUAGCUAAUACCGCAUAACGUCGCAAGACCAAAGAGGGGGACCUUCGGGCCUCUUGCCAUCGGAUGUGCCCAGAUGGGAUUAGCUUGUAGGUGAGGUAACGGCUCACCUAGGCGACGAUCCCUAGCUGGUCUGAGAGGAUGACCAGCCACACUGGAACUGAGACACGGUCCAGACUCCUACGGGAGGCAGCAGUGGGGAAUAUUGCACAAUGGGCGCAAGCCUGAUGCAGCCAUGCCGCGUGUAUGAAGAAGGCCUUCGGGUUGUAAAGUACUUU
rnacentral:rRNA from 1 species